rnacentral:rRNA from 1 species
AGAUUGAACGCUAGCGGGAUGCUUUACACAUGCAAGUCGAACGGCAGCGCGGACUUCGGUCUGGCGGCGAGUGGCGAACGGGUGAGUAAUAUAUCGGAACGUGCCCAGGUAGCGGGGGAUAACUACGCGAAAGCGUGGCUAAUACCGCAUACGCCCUACGGGGGAAAGGGGGGGAUUCUUCGGAACCUCUCACUAUUGGAGCGGCCGAUAUCAGUAUUAGCUAGUUGGUGAGGUAAAGGCUACGCCAAGGCGACGAUCUGUAGCUGGUUUGAGAGGACGACCAGCCACACUGGGACUGAGACACGGCCCAGACCUCCGUACGGGAGGCAGCAGUGGGAAUUUGGACAAGUGGGGAAACCCUGACUCAGCCAUCCCGCGUCGUGCGAUGAAGGUCCGUUCGGGUUA